UACGUAGGGUGCAAGCGUUGUCCGGAAUUAUUGGGCGUAAAGAGCUCGUAGGCGGUCUGUUACGUCGGCUGUGAAAACCUGGGGCUCAACCCCGGGCCUGCAGCCGAUACGGGCAGACUAGAAUUCGGUAGGGGAGACUGGAAUUCCUGGUGUAGCGGUGAAAUGCGCAGAUAUCAGGAGGAACACCGGUGGCGAAGGCGGUUCUCUGGGCCUUACCUGACGCUGAGGAGCGAAAGCGUGGGGAGCGAACAGG
rnacentral:rRNA from 1 species